CUAAGAAUAUUCCGCAAUGGACGAAAAGUCUGACGGAGCGACGCCGCGUGGAUGAUGAAGGCCGGAAGGUUGUAAAAUCCUUUUAAGUAUGAGGAAUAAGCAGUGUGAGAGAAACGCAUUGUGGUGACUGUAGUACUUGAAUAAGCAACGGCUAAUUACGUGCCAGCAGCCGCGGUAACACGUAAGUUGCGAGCGUUGUUCGGAAUUAUUGGGCGUAAAGGGCAUGUAAGGCGGUUAUCUAAGCUUGGUGUGAAAGGCAGGGGCUCAACUCCUGGACUGCAUUGAGAACUGGAUAACUAGAGUUACUGAAGUGAAAUCAGAAUUCCAGGUGUAGGGGUGAAAUCUGUAGAUAUCUGGAAGAAUACCAAUGGCGAAGGCAGGUUUCAGGCAGAUAACUGACGCUGAGGUGCG
rnacentral:rRNA from 1 species